UACCACACCAUCAGCAC
rnacentral:misc_RNA from 1 species